rnacentral:precursor_RNA from 13 species
GCUGGUGCUUUUCAUUGCUCAACCCUGUCUAUCUGGCCUGGGAGCACUCUUGAUUUAAAAAAAAAAAGUGCAACCAGAUUGGAUGAAGUUGGUUGGGACUUUGCUUCCAAGAUGGG